rnacentral:rRNA from 1 species
UACGGAGGGUGCAAGCGUUGUUCGGAAUUACUGGGCGUAAAGGGCGCGUAGGCGGCCUCACCAGUCCGGUGUGAAAGCCCGGGGCUCAACCCCGGAAGGGCACUGGAUACUGUGAGGCUUGAGUUCGGGAGAGGAGGGCAGAAUUCCCGGUGUAGGGGUGAAAUCCGUAGAUAUCGGGAGGAAAACCAGUGGCGAAGGCGGCCCUCUGGAACAGAACUGACGCUGAGGCGCGAAAGCGUGGGGAGCAAACAGGAUUAGAGACCCUGGUAGUCCACGCUGUAAACGAUGGAUGCUUGGUGUGGGGGUCAAUCAGGAUCUCCGUGCCGCAGCUAACGCGGUAAGCAUCCCGCCUGGGGAGUACGGUCGCAAGACUAAA